rnacentral:misc_RNA from 1 species
AAGUCGUAACAAGGUUUCCGUAGGUGAACCUGCGGAAGGAUCAUUAUCACGUAUCCAAACGUAUCAACCAUUGUGAACUGUUCUUGACCUAUGGAUUUAAAAAAGAGGUAGUGUUAAUUUUAACAACUUAUGAAUAACAUUUUAUUGUUGAUUUGAGUUAUUCGUUAUUAUUAACCAAUGGUAUUUUUCGAAAGAAAAUUACUGUACUCUUUUUUUCCGUAGUGUAUUUUCCAAAUCACUUAAUUUAUUAACAAUUUAAAUUUAAAAAAAACAAUUUAUAAUUUGAACUGAUUUAAUUUCUUUUCUCUUUUAACGAAGAGACUGAAAUAAUAUUACGAAACAUAAGAACAACUCUUAGCAACGGAUAUCUUGGUUCUC